rnacentral:rRNA from 1 species
AUUGAACGCUGGCGGCAUGCCUUACACAUGCAAGUCGAACGGCAGCAUGAUCUAGCUUGCUAGAUUGAUGGCGAGUGGCGAACGGGUGAGUAAUACAUCGGAACGUGCCCUGUAGUGGGGGAUAACUAGUCGAAAGAUUAGCUAAUACCGCAUACGACCUGAGGGUGAAAGUGGGGGACCGCAAGGCCUCAUGCUAUAGGAGCGGCCGAUGUCUGAUUAGCUAGUUGGUGAGGUAAAGGCUCACCAAGGCGACGAUCAGUAGCUGGUCUGAGAGGACGAUCAGCCACACUGGGACUGAGACACGGCCCAGACUCCUACGGGAGGCAGCAGUGGGGAAUUUUGGACAAUGGGCGAAAGCCUGAUCCAGCAAUGCCGCGUGUGUGAAGAAGGCCUUCGGGUUGUAGAGCACUUUUGUCCGGAAAGAAAUGGCUCUGGUUAAGACCUGGGGUCGAUGACGGUACCGGAAGAAUAAGGACCGGCUAACUACGU